GGCCUGAUAGCUCAGGGGUUAAGAGCACUAGACAUGUAAUCCAGACAUAGUGGUUGCUGGUUCAAAUCCAGCUCAGGUCA